rnacentral:rRNA from 1 species
AUUGAACGCUGGCGGCAUGCCUUACACAUGCAAGUCGAACGGUAACAGGUCUUCGGAUGCUGACGAGUGGCGAACGGGUGAGUAAUACAUCGGAACGUGCCUAGUAGUGGGGGAUAACUACUCGAAAGAGUGGCUAAUACCGCAUGAGAUCUACGGAUGAAAGCAGGGGAUCGCAAGACCUUGUGCUACUAGAGCGGCCGAUGGCAGAUUAGGUAGUUGGUGGGAUAAAAGCUUACCAAGCCGACGAUCUGUAGCUGGUCUGAGAGGACGAUCAGCCACACUGAGAAUGAGACCCGGCCCAGACUCCUACGGGAGGCAGCAGUGGGGAAUUUUGGACAAUGGGCGAAAGACUGAUCCAGCAAUGCCGCGUGCAGGAUGAAGGCCUUCGGGUUGUAAACUGCUUUUGUACGGAACGAAAAGCCCCGGGUUAAUACCCUGGGGUCAUGACGGUACCGUAAGAAUAAGCACCGGCUAACUACGUGCCAGCCGCCGCCGUAA